UUAUUAUGAAUUAUGAUAUUAUUCUUUUAAAUAAAAACCAGUCGUUAAAAUUUACACGAAAUAAAAAACAAUUGAUAUAUUCUUAGACUCUUGAGACAGAAACUGACCGCUUACAAUAUAUAUUCAAAACGUUAUCUCAUCACCAUUCCCAGUCAAAAUUAUGAACAACGUAGGAGCAACUUACAGAAUAUCAGAGCACGAAGCAACAUCAUGGUAUACACAGAGAAUCCCCAUAAAUAUCAACACACUUACAAAAAGACUCACAAACUAUCGCAGUAACAACUACAGCCAGAACCGCUCAUACAUUGUCAAACAGGGAAACUAAACACAAAGAGGAAAACAGAAUCUAGGAAGUAAGCAGGACUAAUUUUAUUUUUUUGAUGCAUAACCCAUAAAAAAAGGCAUAACCAUUUUAUAAUAAAACUUAAUAUAUAAUAAGUUAAGAAUUUUUUUCAAAAUUUGAAAACCUUAUUAUAAUUCGUAAAUUUGUAUGAAUCCACAAUUGUAAAAUACAGAAUGUCAGUUUAAUAUCAUACUUUACUUUACUAAAUAUAAUAUAACUUAUUAAAUAUUAUGUAUGUAAGCGAAUUUAAGAUAUUGAAAAACAUUUUUUUUUAUAUAAAACUAUGUGUAAAUGUACUGCUACAAUCCUUAUUUUGCCAAUAAAAUACUGACUAUUCAUCUUACUCAUUUAAAACAUUCACCAUUGUAAAAAGAUGUAAAUGGUCACUAAAUAUAAUAUAACUUAUUAAAUAUUAUGUAUAUAUGCAAUUUAAAAAAUUCUAUAUUAUUUUUUUUUAUAUAAAACUAUAUGUAAAUAUACUGAUACAAUUCUUAUUUUGCUAAUAAAAUACUUACUAUUCAUCUUACUCAUUUAAAACAUUCACCAUUGUAAAAAAAUGUAAAUGGUCACUAAAUAUAAUAUAACUUAUUAAAUAUUAUGUAUAUAUGCGAUUUAAAAAAUUCUAUAUUAUUUUUUUUUAUACAAAACUAUGUGUAAAUGUACUGCUACAAUCCUUAUUUCGCCAAUAAAAUACUGACUAUUCAUCUUACUCAUUUAAAACAUUCACCAUUGUAAAAAGAUGUAAAUGGUCACUAAAUAUAAUAUAACUUAUUAAAUAUUAUGUAUA